GGAGGAGCAGUCUCUGAAAUCUUUCAAAAAGACAUGUAUCACUAGCUCUACAAUGAAUUCUGAGUUAGGUGCUCUGAACAAGUUGAAAGACUCCGAAAUUUCUUGAUAGAUAUUCUUUUUGGCCCAAACCUUUUGCAUCAGUAUGCAUACACUUUGAUAGUAAAGAUGCAAAAGGUAGGGCAUGGAGCAUGAUGUAUAACAG
rnacentral:lncRNA from 1 species